UGUAUUUGGAAAGGGUUCCCGAUUCUUCCCAAUCUACGCUAUUUCAAAUGAAAAUUUCAACAAGAAACAAAAUGUUCUUUUGGUCUAUUUUAUCUGUCGAAUUAAAAUGAAGGAAACAAAAAUCACUUAGUCAUCUAUUGAGUUUGUGAAUAAUUUGAUGAAAAAUGAGUUUUAUUGAUUUAUUAUAAAUUAUUUAUUUUAUAGCAGCUAUUUCAGCUUCAGUUUGAAAUAUAUUAUAGCUUCACGAAAGAAAUAGGCUGGAUGAUGGUAUCUGCGGUUGCAAGAUCACAAUUAGAUGUUACUUACGUACCAGUAAAUUGAUGUAUGUAGAACCGAUACGCUUUGUACAUAACAAUAUUUUAAAAACAUCUGAAGGAUAUUUUACAAAAAAAAUUGAAAACUUUGUUGUGGAAAAAAUGAUAGCUUACCUUAAUAUUUAAAUUUGACUAGCGGAUAAAGUUACUUAAGAAAAGUAAAUAAAAAUAAAAAUAAAAACAAUUUUAGUUUAAUAA